rnacentral:lncRNA from 1 species
CUAGAGAUAUAGAGAUCAGCGCCGUUUUCAAUACAUAGACCCCCUAGCCUUGGCUUCUUCUUCCUUGAUUUUUCUCUACAAAGCAUCAACUACAUAUACAAAGAACACAGCAAUCAGCCAAAAAAAUUACAAAAAACAAUGACCUAGACCCUAGAUAUACAAGGAGUGUUGUUUUUGGACUGAGAACCCUCCCCCAUCGGUCUUCUUCUCCAAACAUCAACAACCAUUUGACCUUGAGGACCUUCAACCAAGAGACGAACCCAUCGUCACUUCUUCUUUAGGUACCCGAAACAGCUAUGAAAGAAGCUCGCCACAACCAGCCACCUCCCUUCACCCAUCGUUGUUUCUGUUUCUUUUCGUUCAUAGCAGCUCGCCGGAAAACGAACUGAAACGACCACCAAAAUCAACCUAGACAGCCUGCUUCUGCCCCGUUCUAACGCAGUCGAAGUUCUGUCCAUUUUCGAGUUCGUCGGUAAGUUUCGAUACUCCGUCUGAGGGCUGGUUCAUGGUCUUAUCCGUUUCUGCUUGUUCAAGUUAUUAAGAAUCAAGUUUGUUGGAUAAGGAAAUGUUGAAGUUUAAAGAGGUCAUGUUCUAACUUUACCUAUCUUUCUAAUUUCCAGAUCUUGUGUCAUGGUUUUUUGAAUUAUUUGUUUGACUUCAUUUAUUUCCGUCUGACUUGUUUGCUUACGAGACUUGCUUUCUUUAGUUAACUGUAAAUAACUAGCUAUUAUAUUUUCUAUUUUUUUCUUGGAAUUAAGGGAAUAUGUGAUUCUUAGAAUGUUGCCUUGUCUAUAUAUUAAGAAUUAUAUAGGUUCAAUUGUUAGGCCGAAUCCAUGAAAUUUUCCGUUAUGUUAGUAAGGAUCAUGUACAUAAUUAUUUAUCUCUGUAGGCUAUCUUUUGGUGGAAAUCUAUGUAAAUAUUUUCUCUUGUCUAUACAUGAAAUGCCAAGAUUUAGCUACUGUCCACAUUAUAAAGCAUGUUCUAAGAUUCUUUUAUUACAAGAUUGUAGAAAUCAUGUCCAUAAGAAUUGUGUUUUCAACCGGAAAUGCUAUAACAAGUGGAGCUUUGAAUCAUUUCUUUUAGUUUUUUUAUUUUUUAUUUUACCUUAGGCUACUAAUAGUCCGGGGUGUGCCAUCCACGAUUUAAUCAUACAUGGCCUCAUAUUAAUCUCAUAACCUAAAUAUAAAAAUGACAAAUUCUCGUAGUUUGCUUUAGGUGCGUUAAUUAAAUAAAGUGUCAUAGCUAUGGGUAUGGUUCCCGUGACGUAAGUAUGACACACAAUUUCCAAAUCCGGGUGUGCAUUUUAUGUGACUCGACUUCAAUUCCCAAUGAUGUUUAAUAAAUAAAUAUGUCGUGAACUGCGGGUGCAUUUCAUAUAGUGUGGUUUACGACUUAUUUUCAAAAGCGGACAAGUGUAUGACAAUUAUGAAUUUUCCUAAAAAAUAUUAAAAGCGGUUAGAAAGUUAAAAAAUGCACAUAGGUUUAAAAUGUGUAAUUAAUCAGAUAAUUAAGUCCAUAAUAAUAAUUGAGCGACCGUGCUAGAACCACAGAACUCGGGAGUGCCUAACACCUUCUCCCGGAUUAACAGAAUUCCUUACCCGGAUUUCUGUGUUUCGCAGACAUUAAUACACAGUCAAAUUUCCUCGAUUCGAGAUUCUAAACCGGUGAUUUGGGACACCAUAAAUUAUCCCAAGUGGCGAAUCUAAUUUUUAAACAAAUAAUCCCGUUUCGAUUGUCACUUAAAUUGGAAAAAAACUCCCUUAUACCCUUCCGGGGGGUAGUAAAAGGAGGUGUGACAGCUCUGGCGACUCUGCUGGGGAAAAGAACCCAGAAUCUCUGGUCCAGGGUUCAGAAUUCGAGCUUAGAAUAACUGUUAUGGUUGGCUUUCAUUUAUUAUCUGAGUUUUAUAUGUUUGAGCCUAAUGUGCUAAAUGCCAUUUUUUACCGAUUUGAUAUUGUUUGGACUGUAUAUAAAUUAUUACGAAACCUUCUUCUCUCUGAGUCUUCUAAAUCAUCUGGGAAGUGUGCGCUUCGUGUGACUUCUUUUCUAUUAGAGUCAUAUUCUAAUUUUAGAANNNNNNNNNNNNNNNNNNNNNNNNNNNNNNNNNNNNNNNNNNNNNNNNNNNNNNNNNNNNNNNNNNNNNNNNNNNNNNNNNNNNNNNNNNNNNNNNNNNNNNNNNNNNNNNNNNNNNNNNNNNNNNNNNNNNNNNNNNNNNNNNNNNNNNNNNNNNNNNNNNNNNNNNNNNNNNNNNNNNNNNNNNNNNNNNNNNNNNNNNNNNNNNNNNNNNNNNNNNNNNNNNNNNNNNNNNNNNNNNNNNNNNNNNNNNNNNNNNNNNNNNNNNNNNNNNNNNNNNNNNNNNNNNNNNNNNNNNNNNNNNNNNNNNNNNNNNNNNNNNNNNNNNNNNNNNNNNNNNNNNNNNNNNNNNNNNNNNNNUUUUAAACCUAGAAUAACUCAGCCUCAUGUCGGAUCCCUAGUAGGAACGUUUGUUUGCAUCAUGUGCAUUUGACUUUGGGGACUCAACACAGAGGUUGGGUUUUCUAGGACAGAUGUACCCAAAAAAUAAAAGACCAUCCUGAUGCAUUCUAUGUGCAACAUGUUGCAAUCUUCAAGGGUGAAAGGAGUCAUUUGGCGGACCAAUGAGGGUUGAGGAUAAAUGAAAAAUAGGGUAAAAUGUGAAAAUAAAGCAAGUAGGGCCCAUUUAUAUUUUUCUUUUACAAAAAAUCCAUAAAGAUUGUGCACUUUCCCAUCAUUUUCCCAAAAAUUAAAAAAAAAAGGAAAAAAGAAAAAUCCAAAAAGAGUUUACAUAUUUCAUCAUUUUUCAAACAAAAAAAAUAGACAAAAAUUAUAUUUUCUCUAAAUUAGUUGCCUUUUUUAAUUUCUCGCCCGUAUCCAAUCUGCCCGAACUUCGCAUACCUGAUUCUCGUCUUUCGGGGCGUGAUAUGCACAUAGAGUCCGGUCUUCUUAGUGAGUCUUAGGUUCUUGGCUUCGCGGUAUCUUAGCCGAAUCUUGCAUUUUUAACCACUUUUAGCCACAUAGGUUAAUUUUAGAAAAAUAGUCAAUCAUGUCUUGCAUAUGUCCAACAGGAAGGGUUAUUGUCUCACAUAGCAUUCUAGGUUUUUAACUUUAUGUGGUCUUAAUUUUAUCAUAUAGGUGGAUCUACUUACCGAAGUUUGGGCAUGACAGACGCCUUAGGACCAUCCAAUCAGGAUCACUCAUUCAGGAGUUUGCUUGAGGAGAUUUUCUUUAUGUUUUUAGUCUGUUGUUCUUUUUUAUAUCAUCUUUUACCGUCUAGUUUUGUACAGUAAUGUCGAGUCUUUUAGGUGAUGUUAGAGUUUGUCAUAGUCUAGUUAAGUUUGCCGAGUCUUUUGUUAUUGUAUUUCUUAUUUUGUAUUUGGAAAUGUGUUACAAGUCAAAAAAAAGGAAAAAAAAGAGAUUUUGUGUUUUAUAUUUCCGUUAGAAAUUUUCUUUAGAAUACUAUUCUAGAAAUAAAAAAAAAAUAUUUUUUGAGGUGGUUUUUCCUUUAGGAAAUUAAUAUCUAGAACUCAAUAAUAAAAAUUGCUUUUAUACUUCCUUUAGUAUAUUAAGACUAAAUUAAAAGAAAAAAGAGAAUUUUCUUUUAGUACCUCUUUAAAAGUUUUCUUUAAGAUAUUAAUUCCAAAAAUCCAAAAAGAUUUUAUCUUAAGGUUCUCCAUUGGGGAAUAUAUAAAAAACAAAAAAAAAAAUUCUUUUUAUUUUCACUAGAACUUUAGGAUAAUGUACAUAGAAGAAAAAAACAUACUUCAUCUUGUGUUAUCUUCAGAGUAUCUUCCUUAGGUUAUCAAAAACUGAUUUUUUUUUAUCUUGUUCAUUUCUCGUUUCGCAAUCUUUAUUCAGGGAUAUCAAAUGAAAAUCAAAAAUAUUUCUUUGGUUUAUUUUUUAGAUUUCCUUCCUAAAAAAAAGUCAAAAAAUAUUCUUCUCUUCUAGGAUUUUUCCUUAAUAGAGUAUUUGUUUCAAAAAGAAAAAAAAAAGGAAAAAAAUCCGUUAAGCUUGAGUUUAGAAUAUGUUAUAGAACAUUAAGUCUAGAAAACUAAAAAAAAAGAGAUUUGUUUCUUUUAUUUCCCUUUUCUCGUCAGAGUAGUCAUUAAGGUUAAAAAAGAAAAAAAAGAAGAGAACGUUAUUUUGUUUCCUUUAUUCUCGAUCUUCCCGAACUACGCAAAGAUCUGAUUCAAGCGGUGACAUGAUACAUAGGCAACCUACAUAGGGUUCGAUCGAAUCAUUUUUUUUAUUAAAAGGAAAAGGAAAAAAAAGAAAAAAAAAAGAAAAGGAAAAAAAGAGGAUGAAGUUGUGGGACAUGAGAAAUGAGAGGAAAGAAAAGAGUGAUAAUUAGAAAAAAAAAAGAGGAAGGAAAAUGAGCAAGCCAAGAAGUGCUAGAAAAGAAAAGAAAAGAAAAGAGAAGAUUGAAAUGAACAAAUUGGGAUGAUGCCAAGUGACCCUCUGACCCUCGAAGUCAUUUUAGAAGCGUUAAUUUUUGCUAGGUGCAUUGCACGCAGUGUGAUAUUUUUAGCUGUUAAAUUCCCUAACGCUAACGUGAUGACCUCAUUUUGUUCCUUUUUAUUAUCUCCAUUGAGCAGAAGGGUGGUUGGUUUGUGGUUCAUAAGGUAACUCAUCCAUCCAACACAAGGUCAAAGAUCAAGGUAAUCAUGACUGGCAAAGAGUUGGACACAUGGGUUAUUGAUCCGUUUAAGGGAAUUGUUGAAUCAGAAUCUGAGUUGAAAGAAGAGGUCUUAAGGUUGAAAAGACAGAUGGCCGAAAUAUACUAAGCCUGGAUUAGUGGGCAUCCUCCACCAUCAGUUCCCACUAACUACACUGAAAGCCUUGUCACCAUUCCGCCACUGUCACAAGUCCAGGAUAUAUCCCCACAACCUUUUCACACUCCACCCCCCAGAACCACCUCAUAUAUCGCUCCUUUUACCACUCAUGUUUUUGUAGCUCAUCCAUCUGCACCCUUUCCUCGAUUCUCUAGUGAGAGUGUGUUCAAAAUCCCCGAUGCCCAACAUUAUGCUCCAGAACCAAUUUUCAAGUCUCGAGUCCAUACUUUUACACUCCUCAUUUUGAGCCUCCCGAUGAGACUGCAAAGACUGCUAAGACAAUGGAGCGAGAUGGGAUAUCCAGGAAGCUGAAAGGUAUAGAACAAUCCUCAAGGAGCAUGCAAGGGAUGGGAAAUCAGAUUAACAUCUCUUACAAUGACUUGUGUAUGUUCCCUGAUGUUCAUCUGCCCGCGGGGUUUAAAAUGCCAAAGUUUAACUUGUAUGACGGGCGUGGAGAUCCAGCAACCCAUCUGAGGGGUUAUUGUAGUGAAAUGAGCAGUGUUGGCGGGGAAGAUGAUUUGUUGAUGGCAUAUUUCAAUGAGAGCUUGACUGGGGCAACCUUGCAAUGGUAUACUCAUCAAGAUGUCAAUAAGUGGCAUACAUGGGAUAACAUGGCUCAAGAUUUUGUUCGACACUUUCAGUACAAUCUAGACAUUAUCCCAGACCGCUCCUCCCUAUCCAAGAUGGAAAAGAAAUCGGAGGAAAGCUUUAGGGAGUUUGGGCUCAGAUGGAGGGAACAAGUUGCUCGGGUCAGUCCCUCGAUUGGUGAAGAAGAAAUGGUUGAGCUUUUCCUACAAGCCCAGGGCCCCACCUACUUCAGUCAUUUGAUCCCGGCCUUGGGUAAACCUUUCAAUAAUGUGGUAAAAAUGGGGGAGAUGGUAGAAGAGGAAUCAAGUCAGGCAAAAUCAUGAGUUAUUCUGCAUUGAAAGACACUACAAAAGACAUUCAGAACAUCUCAGUAAGUUUGGAUGGAAGAAAGAGAAAUAGAAAAGAUGUUGUUGAGCCGCACCAACAAUAAGAUCCAAUGGGCAUUCCUGCUCAAUGCUUUCAGCCUCGACACCGACCCCAUGGAUAUCCUUGUGCUCCAGAUAAUCCUCCCCAAUGCUACUUCUCUCUACAAAACCCCAAAAGUCAUACAUCACCUUCCCAGUACUUCGUCCACGAUGCACCACCAUAUGCUCCACACCCACGAGGCCCGCGAUGGCCUGCACUACUUCCACAAAUGUCUUACCUGUCGCCUCAAGCAUAUCAACCACCUACCCCCAAAAGGUUCUAACCGAGGCCAGAGUACAAGAUAAAAAGGCAAAAGCAAAAGGAAAAGACUUUCACUCCCAUUGGGAAUCAUAUGCCAGUUUGUUCCAUAGGUUGAGGCAAUUAGACAUGUUGAAGCCGAUUCAGGUAAAAAUGUCGAACCCACUUCCAAAGAAUUUUGAUUAUUCUCAAAGGUGUGCAUAUUGCUCUCAUGUCCCGGGUCAUAGUACAGAAAAGUGUUGGCAUCUGAAAAGAGCAAUUCAGAAGCUUAUUGAUGCAGGUGACAUUGUCGUGCAAAAUCCAGAUGCAGUAGACACUAGCCAAAGUUCAUCGCCUGUUCAUAAUGAGACGCAUAUGGUGGGUAUGAUUUGUUUUGAAAAGGAAUAUGAGAAUUCUUCUGAGAUCCUCGGAGGUCCAUGUGCCACAAAGCUUUCAGCGCUAUCACCCUCGGUUCCGGAAGGUGAUCUUAAAAGGUACCCAAAAGCAAUUUGCUAAGGUCAAUGUGAUGGAGACUUGUGAAGGUCCUAGUACUGUUGAUACAGAACUCAGUGUCUAAGAUGUUUGAGCUUGGUGAUUGGAAAGAUGCUCCUUUCUUGGCUAGUCAGGGGGAGUUUUGGUGGUUUAUUUUGUUAUCAUUUCUGUUGUCCGGGUUAUUUCAGGGUUGUAAUCCGGAUAUUGUCUUGUGACUCAAACCCUUCUAUACUUUUAUUUUGCCUAGUUCCUUUAGUCGUAGUAGCUCAUUCAGUGUUAUUUAGGUUUGUUCCAGGGUUGUGCCCCAGUUUAUUUUGCUUGUUUUGUUGUUCAAACCCUUUCACCAUCUGUCUAAUGCAAUUUUCUGUUUUCUGUUAUUUCUAGUCAUUUUUGUUUAGUUCUCUUCUCAUUUUAUAGUUCUUUUCAUGCUGGUUCUAGUGACAUGACAUGCACGCAUAAUUCCAGGCCUGGUCUUAAAAGUUAGUCUAAUCAUGAAGCAAUGAAAUAAUUUUGAAGAUGAUAGGGGCACUUGAGGGAAAUAAGUACAGAUUUGGACAUUUUUGAGAUGAUUUAAAGUGCGAACUGUGUAAAACUAGGGCAAAUAAUUUAGAAAGUUAAUAGGAUGACAAGAAUUCGUUAAUGGAGAAUGCAUCCCGGACAAUUUGAAGCGAGAAACUUUGAGUUCAAGUACAUCUCAAGAAACAAGAUACAUCCAAGGAAGAUUGCUCCGAACAGACGGAAGGUAUCCAUCAUGAAGAAGAAACCACCCAAUGAGAUGUUCUGUACUUGACAAGGCACUAAAAAAAAGUGGAAAGCAUAUCAGUGAUAUCAAUGCCGAAGCUGCAAAAGAAAUGUUGUGCAUGAUUUUCCUUUUUCAUUCUCAAGUUGCAUAUGUUAUACUUGGCAUUUUCAGAGAUUGGGAGACCCUCUAUCAGCUACUCAGAUACUUUAUACCAUUCGGUACCCCUUUUGAGCCUGUGCUAAUUUUCUUGACCUCCCCUCUUUUGGAAUCAAGUUAGAGUCAUACGAAUAAAAUUGUUCCCAUAGUUUUAUUUUAGAAAGUUCAUUCCAAAAGGAAAAUUCAAAAAAAAAAGAAGAAAAAAAGAGAUAAAGAAAAAAAGAGAAAAAAAGAAAAAAGGAAAAGAAAGAAAAAGAAAAAGAAAAAGGAAAGUAGUAACAAAAAGUAGUCGUAUGAACUAUGUUUGACCUGAUUCUUGUCACCACAAGAUACGUAUGAAGCCUUACGGUUCGAUCAUACCAAAUAAAAUAUUUCAUAAUCCCACGAAGUCGAAAGUGGGGCAGUCUUUCUUAGUAACUCCAUCAAAAGAAAAAGAAAAAAAAUCAAAUUCCCUUGUUUUAGAAAUUGGGGCAAAGUUUUUAGAAUGAAUUCCAAAAGUUGUAAUAAAUUAACCCCGUUGUCUUAGUUAUUUUGAGCCUUUAUUAUAUCCUUUCUUUAUAACCCUGUCUAAAAGACAUAUUACAGUCCAAAAAAGACCUCCCAGAUAAUCUUUGAGAGUGCUGAGUUUAGACAUGCCAAGAGUACAUGAUGUUUUUACCAUGGUUAAUGCCUUGUCAUCUACAGAAUCAGAGGAAAUAAGAAGAAAAGAACAAAUGAGAGAGUCCUAUAGGUGAAAACCCUCACGGGCACCGUAAGGCGAUGGUGAGUUGAGAGAAAAACAAAAUGAUAGAGGCUUGAUGGUGAAAAACCUUCGGGAACUACAACUCGAAUAAGGAUCGUGAAUCAGAUUGGAUACUCAGAGCAUUGAAGCCCAGUUUCACGGUUUAAGGGUAUAACAAGAGUUGAACAUCAGACUUGCUUGACAGAUAAGGCCAAUUAAUCCAAAGGCGCAUGUCAUGGUCAUUAGAGUUGGUAUCCACAUCUGAUAAGUUUUUACUUUGUAGUUUUCUUGUUAGGAAUCAUCUCUUUCCAUUGUCAUUUACUCUGUUCCUUUUGUCUUGUUUACUUCCUCUUCCUGAGUCUGUUUGGUUAGAACAAGUGAGAAAUGACUUCAAAAUUUGCCACCAGCUUUCCAAUUGCACAAAACAGGAUCUGGCUAGCACAUCAAAGUGGCAUAAGUCAGGAAAGAACAGCAUGCGCACUAAGUUGGUUACAAUCAACGUGCUUUGGGAUUUAUGUGAAAUACAAAGGUUUGGUAUAUGUCAAUUCAUGAAUAAUGCAACAGAUAGAUAAUGAUGGGUGAACGGGUCAAAGGUAUUUUGUGUGAUAAGGUUGACAGAGAAAGUGGUUAACCAAUGACAAGCAAGGUCUUCCAAGAGGAAAUCAAAGUUAUGGCAAGUGAAGGAGCGAUAGACCUCAAGGCCAAGCCCAUUGGUUUAAGUCAGGAAAGAACAACAUGCGCACUGAGUGAGUGGCAAUUGAUGUGCUUUGGGAUUCGUAUUAAAAACAAAGGUUCAGUAUAUGUCAAUGUAUGAGCACAAUACAACAGAUGAAUGAUAUGGGGCUUGAACGGAUCAGAGGUAUUCUCCGUGAUAAGGGUGAUAGAGAAAGUGGUCAGUCAAUAAACAUGCAAGGUCUUUCGAGUUGAAAUCGAAGUUAUCAUGGGAAGUGAAGGAGCAAUCGCCCUCAAAGUCAAGGCCGCAAACCAACCACCAUGUUUAAACUCACAAGUUUUCUUUGAUUGAAACAGGGGCAGAAAAUUUUGUUUAUUCCGGAGAAACCCUCCGUAAGGAAAAUAGGUUCCAAAUAGGCUCGGUAGUAAGUUUCUAGUACCCUCCUGGAUAACGGGAUUUAGUAAGUUUUGAGACCCUCGCAAGUGAUAAGGUCUGAUGAAAGUUUUACUUUUGGGAAGUAUAAUUUAGCAUUUAAGUUUUUCACUGUUGAGAUGAGACUUGGUUUGAAAUUUUUCAAGAUAAGGGACUUUAGCUUAGAAUUUAUUUUGAUAACAAGAAUUGGUUAACACUCACAUAUGUUCCCAUUAUCAAACUAGGGCAGAAACAUUUCUUUUGUUUUGUCUAUUUUGUUGCAAUCAGGCGCCCACCUGGAGAACAAGGGAAGACGACACAAGUUCAAGGGAAAGCAGUUUCAAGAGGAAGCGGUUCAAGUUCAGCAAUCAGGAGCCCACCUGGAGAACAAAGAGAAAUAGUUCAAAUCUCAAGGAAAAGUAGUGC